rnacentral:misc_RNA from 1 species
GAUGAAGAACGUAGCGAAAUGCGAUAAGUAAUGUGAAUUGCAGAAUUCAGUGAAUCAUCGGAUCUUUGAACGCACAUUGCGCCCGCCAGCACUCUGGCGGGCAUGCCUGUUCGAGCGUCAUUUCAACCAUCAAGCCCCCAGGGGCUUGUGCUGGGGCCCUGCGGCUGCCCGCAGGCCCUGAAAACCAGUGGCGGGCUCGCUAGUCACACCGAGCGCAGUAGCACAUCUCGCUCAGGGCGUGCGGCGGGCUCCUGCCGUGAAACCCCCCACUGUAACCCCAAAGGUUGACCUCGGAUCAGGUAGGAAUACCCGCUGAACUUAAGCAUAUCAAUAAGCGGAGGA